rnacentral:snRNA from 1 species
GGAUGUGAGGGCGAUCUGGCUGUGACAUCUGUCACCCCAUUGAUCGCUAGGGUUGAUUUGGCUGAUCUGGCUGGCUAGGCGGGUGUCCCCUUCCUCCCUCACUGCUCCAUGUGCGUCCCUCCUGAAGCUGCGCGCUCGGUUGAAGAGGACGACCACCCCUGAUAGAGGAGGACCGUUUCCUCUGUCAAGGUUAUACGAGUAGCUGUGCUCCCCUGCUAGAACCUCCAAACAAGCUCUUGAAAUCAUGACUUCUCAAAAGCCAAAAGGCAAAGGAGCAAAAAGGGUAAGAGCUAUAUGCUUUAUUUAGUUAACAUUUCCACAGUGGCACCCAGUU